UUUCCUAAAUCUAAAUAAUUUGACGGUCUUUAAAUCGAAUAAUAGGAGCUUGUUUUAUAAAUGAUGAUACACGAAUAAUCUUACUUAUUUUUAUUUGUUUGUAUACCACCAUCUAAAGGGUAUUUAAGAUAUUUUUAAAAAAAAUUUUUAUCUAGAAAGUUAGGUCAAGGUGCAGCUGUAUAAAUAAGAAAAAAUUAGCUACAAUUUUUUCAAAAAUAUAAUUAAUAAUUGAAAUAUUUUUAGUAAAGAGGAUUUUAAAGUAAAAUUAUUACAACAAGAUAAUUUGAUUUUAGUUUCAAAAGAUGUACAUAUCGCCCGUCGCUCGCGGGAA
rnacentral:rRNA from 1 species